AGAGUUUGAUCAUGGCUCAGAACGAACGCUGGCGGCAUGCCUAACACAUGCAAGUCGAACGAGACCUUCGGGUCUAGUGGCGCACGGGUGCGUAACGCGUGGGAACCUGCCUUUAGGUUCGGAAUAACUCAGAGAAAUUUGAGCUAAUACCGGAUAAUGUCUUCGGACCAAAGAUUUAUCGCCUUUAGAUGGGCCCGCGUUGGAUUAGCUAGUUGGUGGGGUAAAGGCCUACCAAGGCGACGAUCCAUAGCUGGUCUGAGAGGAUGAUCAGCCACACUGGGACUGAGACACGGCCCAGACUCCUACGGGAGGCAGCAGUGGGGAAUAUUGGACAAUGGGCGAAAGCCUGAUCCAGCAAUGCCGCGUGAGUGAUGAAGGCCUUAGGGUUGUAAAGCUCUUUUGCCCGAGAUGAUAAUGACAGUAUCGGGAGAAUAAGCUCCGGCUAACUCCGUG
rnacentral:rRNA from 1 species